rnacentral:tRNA from 1 species
GCCGUUAUAGCUCAGUGGUAGAGCACUUCCUUGGUAAGGAAGAGGUCGUGAGUUCAACUCUCAUUAACGGCU